rnacentral:tRNA from 1 species
GGGGAUUUAGCUCAGUGGCAUAAGCACCUGCCUUGCAAGCAGGCGGUCGUGAGUUCGACCCCCAGUACCGA